rnacentral:lncRNA from 1 species
AUGCUCCUGCCCCGGCACCUGGCUCCACAUCGGGGGCUGAGAGGGCCAAGGACCCAUAUCCCAGAGAACACUGAGGGUUUCCUAUCACAGCCCCCGGACCUCCCACUUCCUGAGACCAGGCAGGUCACCCAGACCAGAGGCCUGGGAGAGGCACUGGACCCCACACCCUCAUUCUGUCUCAGGCCCUCACCUCUCAUGGGAGCUAUCCAGUCCCCUCUGGAGGCUUUCCCUGCCACCAGAUCCCAGUGCUCAGGACCAGGGCCUUGGCGUGGGAUGCCACUGUCAGAGGCCCUGAGAGGCUCCCAGGUAGGGAGCAGGUGGGGACGAGACCUCAGAUGAUGGCAGUAUGGGGCCUUUCAGCCACUCUGGCCACUUUCAGCUCCUGAGCCUCCUCACAGGCUCCUCCCACCGCCUGGACACUCCUCCUGGCUCCAAGGCCUGGCUCAGCUCUAGACCACCUAUUCAGACAAACCCUCGCUGACCCACCCCCAGCUCAGCUAGGCACCCUGUCAUUCACCCCUCACAGACCCCUGCAUCUCUGCAUAUGUCACCACCUGUAACUAUGAAAGCAAUGGGGCACUUGAUGACUGGGGCACCAGCUGUCACCCAGGAGAGGAGACCCAGUUCUUGUUCCCAGCUGAAUGGUCAGCAGUUGCUACAGAGGCAUCUACUAAAUUAACAAUGGAUUAAAGGCACAGAGACCUGACUCAGUCUUUGGAUCUAAAAGGAAGAAGUAAGUACACAAGUGUGCUUGGAAUUAAAUGAGGGCACGUGGUUCUUAGCCAGAGGCCACUUCAGGCACCUAGGAGGACAGAACCAGGAUUCAAGUUUUCUAAAGAGCCAGCCAUGCAGUCAGAUACAAUGAAGGGGAAUAUACAUACAGGCCCUUAAGAGAUGCUGAUUGUAACCCCACUAUCUCCUGCUUGACCUUUCCAGACUACAGCCAAUCACAGUGUACACUGGAGGGCUACCAGCGCUUUUCCGACGUGAGAACCUGAGCUUGUCCUGGGCGAACUGCCAUCCCUUUCCUGCUCACUUCCCUCACUCCUCCCAAAAGGCGGCUAGCAAAGGCCCUGGACCUGCUGCACACACCUCACCACCUGGCAGGCAUUCAACACGUGGCAGGUGUCCUGCCUGCCUGCCUCCCUUUCGCCAGGGUCCUGAAGCAAAGGGGAGGGAGCCAUCAAAGCCGGCUCAGAAACAAAGCAUCUUCACCAAUCAGAAAAAAAAAAGGAACAGAAAAGCAAACCGCAGGUGGUUGACGGUCUGAGGCUGGGGUUCCAGCCUCUUAUUGUGUCACAGAGGUGUGGGUCCGUGCUACCUCACCCAGCCCAAGGGC